rnacentral:tRNA from 1 species
GCGUCAGUAGCUCAGCUGGAUAGAGCACGGGCCUUCUAAGCCUGAGGUCGGGGGUUCGAGACCCUCCUGACGCG